AUGAGUACGAGAAUUUUUGGGUACGAGAUGUCCGGAACCCGUAAAAAUCGUCAUAUUGAUGUGGUUUUAAAAAAAAUAUUCAUUUUUCGUUCAACUCUAACAACAAUCGUUUGAGAUAUGAUUUAUGCAACUGAAAUCCUAAAAACAUUAUUGGCUAUUAUUAUAUUAAUCACCGCCAGGUUAGGUUACUGUUUACAGUUUACUCCAUCAAUUGGUUUCGUCUGCAGUGCAAACUAGAAGUUCUACGCGUUUAGACUUUAUAGAGACUGUGAGAUGUGAGGCUGUCAACUCAGUUCACAUCUUUAAUAAGUGUAAACCAUUCAACUGAUUGAUUAUACCAGUGAGAUGGACAUUGACGUCAACGUAAUCAGUGAAAUCAUCAAGCCCUCAAAAGACCUUGAAUGACCGACCCUGGAGAUUCAUCUCCUGGCAAUCUGACAUUAAAGACCAACGAGAACGUCAUCAAAAGCCCCUUAGUUAAAGAUAAGGAAUUAACGACUGUCAGUAUGGGCAUUUUUGAAGAAAUUAUUCUCAACAUUUUAGCAGAUAAAAUGAAAUUCACGUAUGAAAUUAUUCCUCCAACUGACAUUUUAACACUUGGUUUUCUUCAAGCAAACGGAUCGUGGACUGGAACAACCGGACAGUUGCAACGCAAGGAAGUUGAUAUGUGUGUCACUACUAGUGCUCCGGCUUCUUCUAAGACACCGGUUCAAGACAUAUCAUAUCCGGUGGUGUACGUCGAUUCCGCUAUUGUAAUUCCAUUUCCUAAAGAGAAAACUAAGUGGAUAGUUACUUCAACCUUUAAGAAUAAUGAGGUUUGGUUAGCCACCGGAUCGUUUUUCAUAUUCAUGAUCCUGUCUGGAUGGAUUAUCCAUCGCAUUACCAUCUCCAAAUCGGAUCAAAAUAGCCAGAAUACAUUACCGUUUUGGAUAUUUUAUUUUAUGUCCAUAUGGACAUUGUCUCAAGGGGAUACACUGAGAAAUCGAUCGACACCCAUUCGACUAGUCUGUAUCGUUUCCUUUUUCGGGAUUUUCAUCAUCACGAAUUAUUUUACGGCCUCGUACACUUCGAUUUUGUCCAUCCCCAGCUUUAAAACGACUGUCUCUUCCAUCGAGGAUUUAGCAAACAACAGAGGAGUCAUUCCACUUUUUGUUAAAGGCUCCAGUUCGGACGAGUUCAUUAUGGCUUCAACAAAUCCGACCCUGAAGAAAAUUGGGGACAGGAUGAGAAAACAUCCGGAACGAAGAAUCCUUAAUGCCUUUACUGUUGACGAUAUUUCGACUAUUGUAAAAGAACAAGCCGCCCUAAUUUUGGUAAAGUCUACAGCAGAAUCCUUCAUAGAAGAUAGCUAUAAAAUCAACAAGGAGUGUAAAGUAACUCUGGCCGAAAAGACCUUCUUCAGUCGCCCACAAACUUUCUCCUAUCCGAAAAACAGCCCCAUAGUCAAAUCCGUUGAUUACAAUCUCCUGUUGAUGCAACAAGCGGGAUUGAUCCAAUACGCCGAAAAAAGAUCUGCCGUUCCCUACAACCGCUGCUCUAUCUCAGAAGCGAAGAAGAUUGCAGCUAAUAAAGCAGUUCCACUUAAACUUAAAGACGUGGCCGGGGCGUUUGCUAUUCUCGCCUUCGGAUCCGCAUUGAGCUUCAUUGUUCUGUUUGUCGAAUGUAUCUUUAAGAAGAUGAACACAAAAUGAUGUUAUAUAUAUAUUUUUUUGAUUGAUUCUUUAUUAACCGUUACAUCACAAUGAGAUCGAAUGUAUCUUUAAGAAGAUGAACACAAAAUGAUGUUGUAUAUAUAUUUUUUUGAUUGAUUCUUUAUUAACCGUUACAUCACAAUGAGUUUCUUGGGAACUAGGGGUAACGUAUAUAACACACACAUGACCUUGGUUUGCAAUGACAUUUUUACUUAGAUUAACUACGUUAAACAAAGCAAAUGCAAAUCCAAGAAGAAGUGACACAUUUUCCCUCCUCUUUUUACUUGUCGUUCGAAUUUCGUCGCUCAUUUGUUUUUCAAUAAAUUUACCCGGGGGAAAUGUUUCAUCACUCAGUUUCACAGAAUCCUUCAGCUUGUAAACAUGUGUGCACGUCUCUGAAUAUCUUACGAAUUGGCAGCUGUAAUAACUUGUUUUAUCUUGUAUUUGAUGUUAUCACGUAUUAUUACUCAUUAGCUUAUGUAGCAGACGUAGUGCUUGAAAUUCUAAAUUUGAGAGAAUAAAAGAAAAUACAGAACUGUAAUCGCCUCGUGUCCAAAAAGUGAACGAUAAUAUUUUUUUCUGGCCAAGUGGUUCACUUGUCAACUAGAGUUAUUGUCUGGACAUGUCUGACUAGCUAUCGGAAGCAUCUCAGAAAAUGGAAAGGCAUGUAAUUGUCAAAAAAGAAAAGGUGGACUCGUCAAAUUCAGUCUCAUCAACUACAACCAAAUUUGCACCUAAACUCCAUAAGUAGUUUGGAUAAAACAGGAAAUAGUCAUAUUAUUCAUUUAUUCCUCUGAUGAAAGUGAUGUCUAUGAUGGACACCAAAAUGUUGGUGGCAGCAAAACUGUACAGUUAGAAAGACAAGUGAUUGUUAAACAAGAAAAGGCAGAAAUUCCAGCUGUAGAAACUAAAUCGAACGAAAUGCCUUAGUUCAAAGUUCAACGCGUUCAGAAACAUCCAGACCAGAUAGUCGAAAACGCUUCACUGGCCAGUGUUUCACUUCCUGAUGCCUGGUAUAAACUCGUCUUACCUGAAGAAAUCAUCGACAGUGGAGCUCUAUAAGCCGUUCAACUGGAACCCAUCAUCCAUGCCUGUCAAAGGCAUAAACAUAGGCUACCGGAUGGAUCUCGAGCUGGAUUUCUUGUCGGAGAUGGAGCCGGAGUGGGCAAAGGCCGGAUUGCAGCCGGAAUUGUCGUGGAAAACUACAGUGAGGGACGUAAGAAAUCUGUUUGGAUCUCCGAUUCAAACGAUCUCAAAUACGACGUGGAACGAGAUU
rnacentral:misc_RNA from 1 species